rnacentral:piRNA from 1 species
UGAAAAUUGGCCACAAAAGAGUAAUUACAAA